rnacentral:rRNA from 1 species
CCUACGGGAGGCAGCAGUGGGGAAUAUUGGACAAUGGGGGCAACCCUGAUCCAGCCAUGCCGCGUGUGUGAAGAAGGCCCUCGGGUUGUGAAGCACUUUCAGUGAGGAAGAACGCCUGGUGGUUAAUACCCAUCAGGAAAGACAUCACUCACAGAAGAAGCACCGGCUAACUCCGUGCCAGCAGCCGCGGUAAUACGGAGGGUGCGAGCGUUAAUCGGAAUUACUGGGCGUAAAGCGCGCGUAGGUGGCUUGAUAAGCCGGUUGUGAAAGCCCCGGGCUCAACCUGGGAACGGCAUCCGGAACUGUCAAGCUAGAGUGCAGGAGAGGAAGGUAGAAUUCCCGGUGUAGCGGUGAAAUGCGUAGAGAUCGGGAGGAAUACCAGUGGCGAAGGCGGCCUUCUGGACUGACACUGACACUGAGGUGCGAAAGCGUGGGUAGCAAACAGGAUUAGAUACCCGUGUAGUC